rnacentral:rRNA from 1 species
UACGGAGGGUGCAAGCGUUGUCCGGAAUCACUGGGCGUAAAGGGCGCGUAGGCGGCUCAUGAAGCUGUGGUGAAAGUCCGGGGCUCAACCUCGGAUCGGCCGUGGCGACUCGUGGGCUGGAGCACUGUAGAGGCGGGUGGAAUUCCGGGUGUAGCGGUGGAAUGCGUAGAGAUCCGGAAGAACACCAGUGGCGAAGGCGGGUCUCUGGGCCGAUACUGACGCUGAGGAGCGAAAGCGUGGGGAGCGAACAGG